GGUGGGGGAGAACACCACAGUGCGUGGCCCCUCAGCCUCCAGCAGCCGUGCUCUGUGUGGGGAGGAGCUGAGCAGCCCCACACUCCCCUCCCCCAACCCCAUGCGAGUGCAGCGCCACUGCUGGCGGUGACGUGGCCAAGCGCCUACGGCGUAGGGAGAUCAGAGCGACCUGCGGCGGUGAACAAGCUUGCGCCAUCCAUACGAUAGGCGAAGGUGGCAACGUGGCUCGAACGCAUUCCAGGUGGCCCCCGCACUGCCUGCUGGCGGGGGAGGCCGAACCCCCCGGAGAGCUGCACUGUGUGGCGACCUGCUCAGCCGGUGGGUCGAGUUUGGCGUGGAGAGUGUGCCGAGACGACGAAGGCGGCGCAUCGCUGUACCGCGUGUGUGUGCGGCUGCUUUGCACUACUGGGUGUGCCCCCCCCUCCCCCCUCCGGCGCCUCCUGCGGCAGGAGAGGCAGAGUGCGGCCGAACACACGCUGUAGGGCAGACACAAGAGGCACCUUAAAUCACAAAAAAAAAAGCAGAACAUCCUCGCACACGAAUCCCUGCGCUGCUGCGGAUCUGGUUCAAAGAGUUGCGGGCGCCUACUAAUGCGUUCUCUCAUACUUCGACCGACACACACUGAUAGGCGUACGUGCAGAUCAGCUGCUGCGGACAACUCUUACGAUUAGGAGCUUUACGCCCCCUCCCCUUUCGGGCACUGAUGUCCUGUCUUGCCCGUUCUUCUCACCCCCUCCCCUUUCCCGUCUUUCUCCACUGCCUGACCGUGCACAUUCUCGCCAUCCUUGGGAGAG
rnacentral:misc_RNA from 1 species